rnacentral:rRNA from 1 species
GACGAACGCUGGCGGCGUGCUUAACACAUGCAAGUCGAACGGAAAGGCCUCUUUCGGGGGGUACUCGAGUGGCGAACGGGUGAGUAACACGUGAGUAACCUGCCCUUGACUUUGGGAUAACUUCAGGAAACUGGGGCUAAUACCGGAUAGGAGCUCCUGCUGCAUGGUGGGGGUUGGAAAGUUUCGGCGGUUGGGGAUGGACUCGCGGCUUAUCAGCUUGUUGGUGGGGUAGUGGCUUACCAAGGCUUUGACGGGUAGCCGGCCUGAGAGGGUGACCGGCCACAUUGGGACUGAGAUACGGCCCAGACUCCUACGGGAGGCAGCAGGGGGGAAUAUUGCACAAGGGGUGGAAGCCCGAUGCAGCAACGCCGUGUGCGGGAUGACGGCCUUCGGGUUGUAAACCGCUUUCGCUCGUGACGAAGCUUUGUGUGACGGUAGUGGGUAAAGAAGCACCGGCUAACUACGUG